AUUGAACGCUGGCGUCAGGCCUAACACAUGCAAGUCGAACGAGUGGCGGACGGGUGAGUAAUGUCUGGGAACCUGCCUGAUGGAGGGGGAUAACUACUGGAAACGGUCGCUAAUACCGCAUACCAUCGGAUGUGCCCAUAUGGGAUGAGCUAGUAGGUGGGGUAACGGCUCACCUAGGCGACGCUCCCUAGCUGGUCUGCGAGGAUGACCAGCCACACUGGAACAGAGACACGGUCCAGACUCCUACGGGAGGCAGCAGUGGGGAAUAUUGGACAAUGGGCGCAAGCAUUAUGCAGCCAUGCCGCGUGUGUGAAGAAGGCCUUCUGGUCGUAAAGUACUUUCAGCAGGGAGGCGUUACCCGCAGAAGAAGCACCGGCUAACUCCGUGCCAGCAGCCGCGGUAAUAC
rnacentral:rRNA from 1 species